rnacentral:rRNA from 1 species
CGAGUGGCGAACGGGUGAGUAACGCGUGAGGAACCUGCCUCAAAGAGGGGGACAACAGUUGGAAACGACUGCUAAUACCGCAUAAGCCCACGGGUCGGCAUCGACCAGAGGGAAAAGGAGCAAUCCGCUUUGAGAUGGCCUCGCGUCCGAUUAGCUAGUUGGUGAGGUAAUGGCCCACCAAGGCGACGAUCGGUAGCCGGACUGAGAGGUUGAACGGCCACAUUGGGACUGAGACACGGCCCAGACUCCUACGGGAGGCAGCAUG